UACAGUUUCUUAGGGUUACGGGCACAGCACUUGCCAUGCCAAGCUGGAUAGGUGCUUUCUAUGGCGAUCGAUAAAAAUUGGCAUUUACAGUAGAACAAAAUGCAGUAGAAUCAAUGGAAAACUGCACACAAAGACUGACAAACAAGCAACAUGCAAAAGAAGAGAACCCAUGCAAAUUUUUAAAAGUAAAUAAAUAACACUGAAGAGUCCUUAAUAGUCCAUAGGUUGUGGAGUCAGUUCAUAGUUAAGAUAUACCGUGGAGAGCUGAAGAGACUGAUCGCCUCACAGCUUGGUCCAGAGCCUCUGGUGCACUGGAUCACAAGGCUGCACAGAACGGGCACAACUUUCUCCACCACUGAGGACAUCUUCAGUAGGUGAGGCAUUCAUCAUUCAGGGCUUUCAUCAUCUUGCAUGUGCCACCUUCUCAGUACCAGCAUCAGGGAAGAGGUACAGAAGCCUGAGCCCCAUUCAAUGAUUCGGAAAUAGCUCCUUUCCCUCUGCCAUCACAUUUCUGAAUAGUUGACGGACCCAUGACUUUUAUUUUCCACAUUUUAUUUUGUAAUUUAGAGUAAUUUAUGUCUGUUGCCUUAAAUUUCAUGUCAGAGUAAGUCAGUGAUAAACCAGAUUCUGAACUUAGAUACAUACUGUAUUGAAAUGAAUUCAAUCUACAACAUAGAAAACUGGAACUUUAGAGUGACUUAGACUGGAAGCUAUAAGUAAUGAUGUUACGUGCAAGAUACAGGAGGAACUCAGCAGGUCAGGCAGGAUUUUUGGACUUAUUUAGAAAUAGAAAACCUACAGCACAAUACAGGCCCUUCGGCUCACAAAGUUGUGCUGAACAUGUCUCUACCUUAGAAAUUACUAGGGUUACCUAUAGCCCUCUAUUUUUCUAAGCUCCAUGUACCUAUCCAAAAGUCUCUUAAAAGACCCUAUCGUAUCUGCCUCCUCCACCGUUAGCAGCAGACCAUUCCACUCACUCACCACUCUCUGAGUAAAAAACCUUACCCCUGACAUCUCCACUGUACCUACUCCCCAGGAUCUUAACUCUGUGUCCUCUUGUGGCAGCCAUUCCAGCCCUGGGAAAAAGCCUCUGACUAUCCACACGAUCAAUGCCUCUCAUCAUCUUGUACACCUUUAUGAGGUCACCUCUCAUCCUCCGUCACUCCAAAGAGAAAAGGCCAAGAUUACUCAACUUGUUUUCAUAAGGCACGCUCCCCAAUCCAGGCAACGUCCUUGUAAAUCUCCUCUGCACCCUUUCUAUGGUUUCCACAUCCUUCCUGUAGUGAGGCGACCAGAACUGAGCACAGUACUCCAAGUGGGGUCCUAAAUGGCUGCAACAUUACCUCUCAGCUCUUAAACUCAGUCCCACGAUUAAUGAAGGCCAAUGCUCCGUAUAUCUUCUUAACCAUAGAAUCAACCUGUGCAGCUGGUUUGAGCGAUCUCUGUACUCAGACCCCAAGAUCCCUCUGAUCCUCCACACUACCAAGAGUCUUACUAUUAAUACUAUAUUCUGCCAUCAUAUUUGACCUACCAAAAUAAACCACUUCAUUCUUAUUUGGGUUGAACACAAUCUGCCACUUCUCAGCCCAGUUUUGCAUCCUAUCAAUGUCCCGCUGUAACCUCUGACAGCCCUCCACACUAUCCACAACACCACCAACCUUUGUGUCAUCAGCAAACUUACUAACCCAUCCCUCCACUUCCUCAUCCAGGUCAUUUAUAAAACUCAUGAAGAAGAUGGUCCCGAUACAGAUCCCUGAGGCACACUCCACUGGUGACCGACCUCCAUGCAGACUAUGACCCACCUACAACCACUCUUUUCCCUCUGUGGGCAAGCCGAUUCUGGAUCCACAAAGCAAUGUCCCCUUGGAUCCCAUGCCUCCUUACUUUCUCAACAAGCCUUGCAUGGGGUACCUUAUCAAUUGCCUUGCUGAAAUCCAUAUACACUACAUCUACUGCUCUUCCUUCAUCAAUGUGUUUGGUCACAUCCUCAAAAAAAUUCAAUCAGGCUCAUAAGGCACGACCUGCCUUUGACAAAGCCAUGCUGACUACCGUAGAUUCCGGACUACAGAGCGCACCUGAUUAAAAGCCGCACGGUCUAAUUUUAGAAAGAAAAUCAAUUUUGUACUUGUACAAGCCACACCGGAUUUUAAGCCGCAGGUGUCCCACGUUGUAAUAUGAGAUAUUUACACAGAAAGAUAUUACACGUGAGGAUUUUUUAACUUUUAAUUAAAUCCGUAUGGUAACAUAAACAAAUACAUAUUGCAAAUGCUUUUUUUCGAACAGUGCCUGUAACACAGCUACUUUUAAAUAUACAUACGUAUUGGUAACACACAAAUUACGUUGCGUAUACUUUUUUACUGAACAGUGCAUGAACAACAUUCCAAUAUCUCCUAACGACUGGUAAAAAAAUAUAUAUACUGCAGCCUACCAGGAAAAGUUAUUGAUCGCCUUUAACUUAAAAGCUGCAUCAUAUGCUUUUCUUCGAGUGUUUUCCAUGUUGAUGAGGGUGAGUACAAAUGACUGAUUUACAAUAAUUUAAUUGUGAAAGUGCGCUUGAUUUAUCGUACAAUUUCAUUGGACCUCUGUGAACUACUCAUCAAUUUUAUUGGUCUUGCUAUGUUCCCAGCCCCCUCCUUGGUGAGAAUCGCAAGAGCACCCGUCGAAGGGGGUGUAGGAGAGAGAGAGAGAAAUGUGCCAAAUUGCACGUCCCACUCGGGAUACAGAAUUAAGACGACAGCGACUAUUGUCUCAUGGAGACCACGUGAAAAGCCCUCGGGCAAGGUGGGCUGGUUGAGAGAGAGAUUGCAUCAUCCCAACCUGAUUGACACCUGCGACCCCGUGAGGAAGUAUAAAGGAGAGUCUCAGGGGGGACAGCCCCCUCAGAUGCACCAAGAAGACACAAGAGUGUUCCCGCAGCAGCGGGAAGCCAUUCUGAAGGAAGCCACAUGCGUUAGAUUCUGGGAUUGGAAUUUGUGGCUGGAAUCACAGAAAACCGCUUUUAACUAACAUCGGGGAGAUGUUAACUAACAACGCUCCCCCGAUUUCACAGAAGAUUCAUCAAGACUCGGCAAGUUCUUUCUCUUCUCCCCCAAUCUCUCUCUCUCGGUCACCCCAUGUGAAACCCAGCGAUUUUCAAAGGGCUGAGGCCUGCAGACUUUCUGAGUGACUUUUAUAUUUCCAAAGGACAAUCUAUUAACCCCUAGACAACAGCAGAGCUCACUUAAUGAUGAGUAUUACUAUACCCGUGCUUUAGAUUGAGUGUUGAUGAUGUGCACUAUCUGAAUGUAUGUAUUAACCCUACUUUUGUGUCCCUUUAUAAAUAAAACGUUUGAAAAUAGUGACAUCAGACUUCAACGGACCUCUCUAUCUUUGCUGGUAAGUUCUCCAGUUACGGGAUUCAUAACAGUCUACUGUUACGAGGCAAAAUGUUUUUGGCGGCAUGAAAAAAAACAUGCAUUAGCCGCACCGUAGUAUAGGCCGCAGUGUUGCUGCAGUGUUCAAAGCGUGGGGAAAAAGUAGCGGCUUAUAGUCCGGAAUUUACGGUAUUCCUAAUCAUAUUAUGCCUCUCCAAAUGUUCAUAAAUCCUGCCUCUCAGGAUCUUCUCCAUCAACUUAUCAACCUCUGAAGUAAGAUACUGGUCUAUAAUUUCCUGGGCUAACUCUACUCCCUUUCUUGAAUAAGGG